UUGUAUACGUAUUUUUGGAACUUUCUUGUUUUUGUAGUUUUACAGAUGACUUUAACUGGCUUUGAAUGUUGGAGACAUCACUCAGAUCUCUGUGUUGUUGUAAGAUUGCUGCAAUAAGAGGAGCUGUGACCGUUCUAGAUGUGUCGUUUCUAUACAAAGUAAAGUUGGAUCACAUAAGUCCAGGCCACAAGAGCAACAAGGCAAAAAGCAAUCUUCUGAUGGUAUCUCUGGGUUGAUUCUGGAUGACGCUCUUGCAAAUGAAUGGAUCAUCAGCAUUUAUUAGUCCCUUUCUAGUUUGGGUGUUUGCUGUUUUGGGCACAAUUUACAGCUUUCUUUUCCUUGACAGGAAUAGAACUUUGGACACAGCUCUCUACUUAAUGAUGGGAUGUGCUCCAGCUGUUACAGUAUUGUCAUGUAUACAGGAGGUUAGAGUCUGUCUGUCUUUCAAUGAACGUUAGUAUAUUUUCAUAAAUUGACACUAAAACAUCGAAACAUCAUAGACUGAAAGAAUGUUCAGCGA